UACGUAGGGGGCAAGCGUUGUCCGGAAUCAUUGGGCGUAAAGCGCGUGUAGGCGGCUCGGUAAGUCCGCUCUGAAAGUCCAGGGCUCAACCCUGGGAUGCGGGUGGAUACUGCCGGGCUCGAGUCCGGAAGAGGCGAGUGGAAUUCCCGGUGUAGCGGUGAAAUGCGCAGAUAUCAGGAAGAACACCCGUGGCUAAGGCGGCUCUCUAGUACGGUACUGACGCUGAGACGCGAAAGCGUGGGGAGCGAACAGG
rnacentral:rRNA from 1 species